rnacentral:rRNA from 1 species
AUCUAUGGCCAUACCACCCUGAACAUGCCUGAUCCUGUCUGAUCUCAGAAGCUAAGCAGGGUUGAGCCUGGUUAGUACUUGGAUGGGAGAAAAUGUGGUAUAUAUACACCAUGGAAUACUAUUCAGCCAUAAAAA